rnacentral:lncRNA from 1 species
AGUUGGGCGCGCAGUUUACUCUGGAGGUCCUCCUUGCUGAACCCGGUUUGGAGGAGUUAAACGAACUCCGCUCGCCGCUGUCUUCCGUCUCCUUAGUUCAUUCCUCAGCGGCAGAUUCCACUAUCUUCUCAACGUCGGCUCUAAUCCCAGCUUCAUCAACCAACAUCAUCGCAUAAACCCCGGGCUCAAUCCAAAGGCAUCAGUUCUAUCGAUUCUAGAACGUGAUUCACGGAGCAAUCGUCGAUUUGAGCACUAAAUUGUUAAUUUCCUCUUGGAAGACUUGACACAGAACGCACGUCGUGGAUCUUAGAGCUUCCGGCACGAGAAGAUAGCCUCUGACACCACCGCGAGCGUUGAUAGGAUUUUCCGUUUCGUCAUCAUAACAUUGUUGUAAAGCUUAUUUUUUGAACGUCAUCAUCAAACAAUAGCACUUUUUCAUAUUGUAUUAUAGCUCAAUUAAUGUUGAUGUGAUUAGAUGUAUAUGGUGGUGUAUUUUUAGGGAUAGAGUUCUGACCUUGAAUGUCAGGUCACACUCAUGAAUUUUGCUUUCAUCAUUAUUUUUUUUAAGCGUUACACUUUCCUUCAAACGACGGCUAACAAAAAUCUUCUCUUCCUCCCAUGUCAGGUAUGUGUGCGAUCUUUGCUUUUAUGAAAUUUUUAUUUCUCCCUCUUACUUCGAUGAUGUUCACUGACGGCUGUACUUAAUUAAUAUCAAAUAUUACAUGAAGAAGCAUGGGUACACACAUCGAACUUUAUCCUCUACCACUCUUCUUUACUAUAAAUAUCUACACCUUGCUCAAGCUUUUACAAUGUUCGAACAGUUGUAAAUAUAAGGAAUUGUCU